CAAGAAGGCUCGGUGCGCUUCGACUCGGCGAUUCCAUCGUUUAGAACUUGCCGGAAUGAAUUUAAUAUAACCGCUAAGGAGCGGAGAUACUUUACUCCGAAGAGGAAAAGUUUGUAAGCACCAAUUUAUCUUCGACGCAUAGCGCGGAGAAAUUUACCGCAGCCUCGUGAAAGUUGAUCCACUAGUAUGUACAUUAAUUCAUACAGUCUCGGUAAUCCUCCCUGAACAAGCAUGGGUACCGUGUUGUGUUUCCAUUACAUCAGGGGUCGGCAAAUUUUUUCUGAAGAGGGCCGAUAUUAAAAAUGUUGGGCUUUGCGGACCAAGAGGUAAUGUCGCGGAAAUUAUUCAUAACACUUAUACGUAACAUGCAGGACAAAGUUUAUAUCGUUUUUGUAUUAUCAGUAUACAAGAACAUUAUUGCAUAUGAACAAAUAUAUCAACGUUCUUCAUUAUUAAUAGUUCAUUAUUAAUCGAUCGUAAAUGUUCAUCUUAUUUCCCUUUUAAAAAUCUCAUUUUAUCCAGAACGAUGCAGAUGAGCAGUGUAAAAUAUUUAAAUGGAUCAGAUAAUGAAAGUUUUUGUUUCCAAUGGAUAUUCUCAAAUUUAAUAGAUUGCGAAUAAUAUAAUUUUUUAUGUAAACGUUUACAAUCAGUUUCUGAUCAUCAUC